rnacentral:tRNA from 1 species
ACCUGGCUGGCUCAGUCAGUAGAACGUGGGACUUUUGAUCUUGGGGUUGUGAGUUCAAGCCCCAUGUUGGGUG